rnacentral:rRNA from 1 species
UACGAAGGGGGCUAGCGUUGCUCGGAAUCACUGGGCGUAAAGCGCACGUAGGCGGAUUUCUAAGUCGGGGGUGAAAUCCUGGAGCUCAACUCCAGAACUGCCUUCGAUACUGGAAGUCUUGAGUCCGGGAGAGGUGAGUGGAACUGCGAGUGUAGAGGUGAAAUUCGUAGAUAUUCGCAAGAACACCAGUGGCGAAGGCGGCUCACUGGCCCGGUACUGACGCUGAGGUGCGAAAGCGUGGGGAGCAAACAGG